rnacentral:rRNA from 1 species
GCGGCGCUGUCUCCACCCGAGACUCAGUGAAAUUGAAAUCGCUGUGAAGAUGCAGCGUUCCCGUGGCAAGACGGAAAGACCCCGUGAACCUUUACUAUAGCUUUACACUGAACGUUGAGUUCGUCUGUGUAGGAUAGGUGGGAGGCUAUGAAACCAUGGCGCUAGCUGUGGUGGAGCCAUCCUUGAAAUACCACCCUGUCGUGCUUGACGUUCUAACCUAGGUCCGUAAUCCGGAUCGGGGACCGUGUAUGGUGGGUAGUUUGACUGGGGCGGUCUCCUCCUAAAGAGUAACGGAGGAG